UCCAUUCCGAACACAGCAGUUAAGCUCGUUUGCGCCGAUGGUACUGCAUGGGCGACUGUGUGGGAGAGUAGGUUGCCGCCAUCA
rnacentral:rRNA from 1 species